CUGAGAACUGCCGUAGACUACCUGCUGUACAGAUUUCCUUACAUUGACCAGAUUUGAGGGUGACACUUUCAGAAGAGUCUCCUGUUUAAGAGUGGAAACCUUUACAUACUAAAUCUCUCUAAAGGACCUUUUAUACUUGACAAAAAGAGUGAAGGUCAUGAUGCCUAAUGAUGAUGUCACUGAAAACUCUCAUGGACUACCUGAUGAACAACUUUCCUUACAUUGACAAGAUUCAAGUUUGCACUUUAAAGGCUCCACCAAGGGACGACUGACACUGAAGCAGAC